rnacentral:lncRNA from 1 species
CCUGGAUCUCCAGAUUCUCGGACUGUAAGAAACAGCUGACCUACUUUGAGGACUACUGUCAAAAUGAUUGUGCUGGUGAAACGAUUUACAAGGUGCCCAAGGAGCCUUUGAGGUUCUGAUGGACUGGGGCAAAGCCCAUCUAGAUCAGAGCUCUGGAAAGAUCGACAGCUCUGGGAGGAAAUCGCCCUAAGCGAGGAAGGAGUGUGAAUGUGCGACCUAGUCAGCACCAGGGCCAAGACUGUUGGCAAGUGAAUCCCUUUUGGGUAUAGUCUCUGGCUGAUGCUAGAAACUCUGUUCCAGGAUGUGGUCCACAUUGGAUGUGGCACUCCUAGGAUUUGCCCAUGAGGCAUCCAGGAUUACUUGGAUUAUUAAAAAAUGCUGCCCUCACAUGUGUACAGCACUUUACAGUUUGGUAAGCAUUACCUCCCUUGAUUCUUACAAUAACACUAUGAUGUAUGAAGAAGAAAUUUAAGCAAGCUAACUCCAUAGAUUUCAUGGAGGUUUUGAGACUUUUCUGCAAUACACAACUUUUAAGAAGCCAGACCAGCACAAAAGCCCAGAUUCUCUGAUACCUCUGUCGAUAGGCUCCUCUGAAGGCUAUCCUUAAGAAUACAAGAGCAAAAGAUAGGCCAUAUUGGGCCGAUCUAACAGUUCCCUCCAUCAAAUGCUUCAUUUGAACAGGCUGGGGCCAGGGAUGUUUGGUAAAGGAGUGUGGCAGCUCCCUCUGCAACAUCAAAAGUCACGAACACCUCCAAACACCUCCAACCUCUCUUCAACAACCGGUAAGAGAUUGGACAUCCCAAUUUUUCCAAACCCUUCUUGAAGCUAUUUGCAUUUCUUGUCUUGUUCAACUCUUUGGGAAUAAUAAGUUCCACGUGUUUACCACCUGCUGCGUGAAGAAGUACUUCCUUUGGUUAUUAUUUUAAAUGACUGCUUUCCAGGCUUAAGCGCCCCCGUACCCAAAUCUGCUUCCCAAUUUGUUAUAGUCCCCAGGAUACAAUGUCUGUCUGGCUGAGAGCCCCUGGUAUGCACACUUCCGCUGCUGUUGAGGUGCGCUUGGUGCUUAUGGCUACAGAAUCACAGCAUGCGGAAGCAGGUACCCUUGGGACUGCUUUUGGGACACGAAUGCUACCUAUGUACUGGAAUGAAAAUUGAAUGUGGCUUUCCUCCUCAGUGCCCUGACAACUUGAAAAAGUGAAGCAAUCGCCAUUAUGAAACUUUUGCCUUUUCUGUGACUAUGUCCUUCCAAAAACCUUCACUGUUCUAAGGAAUUCCAUGCUAGUCCAAAUGAAAUAACGACAAAAUCAUACUUGCGUGAAUAUGCUAUUCUGGUUUGAAUCCUUUCUGGUGACUGACCUUGCUAACGCAAACACGUUCAUAUGGUUAAGAUUAAUGAGUCAAUUAUUUUUAUACAAGCUAUCCCUCAUGUAGGCUGUUUUCCUUGACUUGACUAUGUUAAUUAAUAAAAAGCAUUCAAUCCUCCUUCUGUUGCA